CACAGAGGGAAGCCAGGUGGCGACACCGCGCGGAACCCGAAAGCCGUUCUCAGUUCGGAUCGGAGUCUGCAACCCGACUCCGUGAAGCUGGAUUCGCUAGUAAUCGCGCAUCAGCCAUGGCGCGGUGAAUACGUUCCCGGGCCUUGUACACACCGCCCGUCAAGCCAUGGGAGCCGGGGGUGCUUGAAGUGCGUCGCCGCAAGGCGCGCCCUAGAGCAAAACCGGUGACUGGGGCUAAGUCGUAACAAGGUACC
rnacentral:rRNA from 1 species